rnacentral:lncRNA from 1 species
AUGCAGGGUCUGGACACGCAGCUGGACCUGGGACUUCUCUGCUGCCAUGUUCUGAUCCUUGGCAGGAUCAUAAAGGCUAAGAAUAUACAGUGGUGGCUUCUACUCCUCCAGCCUAUAACCAAAAUCCGACAAUUCAUGUCUUCAGGAGAUAAACAGCCUUCACUCCCUUGCAGAAGAGUGGAGGGGCCUGGAACCCACCCAGAAACAUCUUGUUUUCUCUUUUGCUCCUCUCAGACUUCUACUGAAGUAGGCUGGAAGAGAUACUCCUCUCUACUUCUACCUCACUAUCUUCUAGGAUCGUGGGGGAGGACACUUGAUGUGGCUGAGCCACUUAAUUAAGCACCCAAAAUAAUAAAAAGUGACCUUCCAGGGAGCAGAUUUAAUGUUACCACAACCUCCAUCUCCAAGUUACUGAAAGUUACAAAUCUAGAGGCUGAAGAUUUGACCUCUUCCUUUUGCACAGAUACAGAAAGUAUGGUGAGCCUGACUGGACAGAGAAGGUUAUCUCCUCUAUAAAGAAGUUUAAGAUUGUGUCAGAGGAAUCAGGGUCAAGUCCCAAUCUCAGGAAGAAGGAUGGGGAGAGGCAAAGAGCAGUGGGAGCUUUAUUGUUCAAAGGGUCAUCUUUUUUUUUUUUUUUUUUUGAGACAGUGUCUCACUCUGUUGCCCAGGCUGGAGUGCAAUGGCCCGAUCUCGGUUCACUGCAACCUCCACCUCCCAGGUUCAAGCAAUUCUCCUGCCUCAGCCUCCCAAGUAGCUGGGACUACAGGUGCACACCACCAUACCUGGCUAAUUUUGUGGUUUUAGUAGAGACAGGAUUUUGCCAUGUGGUCCAGGCUGGUCUCAAACUCCUGACCUCAAGUGAUCCACCUGCCUCAGCCUCCCAAAGUGCUGGGAUUAUAAGCGUGAGCCACCACGCCUGGCCUCAAUUGUAUUUUCUUGGAUAAAGGAAGCAUAGAGCAUUUAAUUUACUAAUUUUGAAAAUUAAGCAGAGAAAACCUUUAAGAUUAUGAAAC